UGAUGCGUAUAAUGGAAUUGUUA
rnacentral:siRNA from 1 species